rnacentral:misc_RNA from 1 species
AUGGUUAUCCACUUUAACGCUUUGUUGAAGCUGGGACUUGGAGGCUGUGUGUAUAUACACUACACACUCCUCUUGAAUAGAUUAGUAAAGGUGCUCCCCUGUGGGUUAGCCAUUGGUGUGAUAGUGAAAUUGAAUCACCAGCGGCAAAUAGGGGCACUUGACUUCUAAAGCCCCUAUCUGUGGGGAAAAUAACAUAACACAUAUG